AGUGAACGCUGGCGGCAGGCCUAACACAUGCAGGUCGAGCGGCAGCGGGUCCUUCGGGAUGCCGGCGAGCGGCGGACGGGUGAGGAAUGCAUCGGAAUCUGCCCUGUCGUGGGGGAUAACCUAGGGAAACUUAGGCUAAUACCGCAUACGACCCACGGGUGAAAGCGGGGGAUCGCAAGACCUCGCGCGAUAGGAUGAGCCGAUGUCCGAUUAGCUAGUUGGCGGGGUAAAGGCCCACCAAGGCGACGAUCGGUAGCUGGUCUGAGAGGAUGAUCAGCCACACUGGGACUGAGACACGGCCCAGACUCCUACGGGAGGCAGCAGUGGGGAAUAUUGGACAAUGGGCGCAAGCCUGAUCCAGCCAUGCCGCGUGGGUGAAGAAGGCCUUCGGGUUGUAAAGCCCUUUUGUCCGGGAAGAAAUCGUCUGGGCUAAUACCCCGGGCGGAUGACGGUACCGGAAGAAUAAGCACCGGCUAACUUCGUG
rnacentral:rRNA from 1 species